GCCGGGUGCGGUGGCAAGCACCUGUAAUCCCAGCUACUUGGGAGGCCGAGGCAGGAGAAUCGCUUGAACCCAGGAGGCGGAGGUUGCAGUGAGCCGAGAUUGCGCCACUGCACUCCAGCCUGUGUGACAGAGUGAUACUCUGCCUCAA
ensembl:misc_RNA Metazoa_SRP Metazoan signal recognition particle RNA